rnacentral:rRNA from 1 species
UACGAAGGGGGCUAGCGUUGUUCGGAAUUACUGGGCGUAAAGCGCACGUAGGCGGACUCUUAAGUCGGGGGUGAAAUCCUGGAGCUCAACUCCAGAACUGCCUUCGAUACUGGGAGUCUUCGAGUUCGGGAGAGGUGAGUGGAACUGCGAGUGUAGAGGUGAAAUUCGUAGAUAUUCGCAAGAACACCAGUGGCGAAGGCGGCUCACUGGCCCGAUACUGACGCUGAGGUGCGAAAGCGUGGGGAGCAAACAGG